GUCUAUGGCCAUGCCACCUUGAAUGUGCCUGAUCUUGUCUGAUCUCGGAAGCUAAGCAGGGUUGGGCCUGGUUAGUACUUGGAUGUGAGACCACCUAGGAAGACCAGAUGCUGUAGGCC
rnacentral:rRNA from 1 species